rnacentral:lncRNA from 1 species
GAGUUGGAACAUUCAUUUUAAUGAUAUAAUCAAAUUGUUUGAUCAGAUAUGAAAAAUUAUGAAUUUCAAAAGGGUUAGUGGGAGUGUCCAAUACUGACAUCGGUUAAAAUAUGGUUGAAUAUAGAUUUCUCCAUGAAAGAUAUAAAGUGAGCAUCUUAAAGAUCUAUAAAGAAAGAUGCAAUUGGAUACUUGUGUUUUCACAGAUAAAGUACAG